CUGGAAGCAACAUCACAAUUAACUACUGCCUUUCAUUCUUCUCCUUGUAGCCUCUGGGAGUCUGAAUGGCUUCUAGCCUUUGGGUUUGAGAAGUCUAGAAAAGUCUGUCCUGAAUAAAAACAAAACAACAAACAAAAAACAGAAGCGAUUUCUGAGUCUGAAGGAGGUUUCACUAUAAACAGAACAUCUCCAUGUCUGGCUGCCCUGCUGGGUUGAAUUACUCCCGCCCUAUGUGCCAAGCAGAGGGGACCUUCCUACAAGUCGUCUGAGCUAGGCAUCACUUCCCUUCCCUGUGCCUCCUCUCCCACAAAAUCGUCACUCCAUGUCUUAAAUUAACAAGACUCAAAAACCCCACCCAAACAUUAGGGGUCGUAUAAAAUGAUGUCACAAUCUCUCUGGAAGAAGGGAGUGGCCAACAGUGACUUCUGAGGAUGAGGUGAGGUCAUGGAUGGCUACAGGGGUCUGGUGCCCAGGGAAGUUUACACAUUGGUUACAGUACCACACAGUGAAUAGGCUCAAAUGAGAACACCCACAGAUAGGAUGACAGUGGCAGCCUGAACACUCGUCCUCAAAGCCAGUGAAGAGAACAGCUGUAGACAGUGGUAGCUUUUAAAGGUUGUCUCAGCUCCUGUCAAACACUUCACCCCUAAUCUUAUUGCCAUUUUCUAUUAGCCCCUAGUACCCAUCCUGACACUUUUAAUUAGAUCAAAAGUGCCCUCAGGGCAGACAUCUUGUUCGGGUAGUCACGGAAGUACUAAUCUUAAUUUUGAUAAUAUCAGUAUGUUAUAUAGCUAGACAUGUUCUAACUCACAUUUCAUUUUCUAUUCUGACCAGCUAAGCACUAAAUUGCUAGUAUGGCCUGCCUGAGGAGAAGCUCACACAAGGGAUUCAAAUUUGUCUUGGCUGCUUUGAAGUUUUGGAUAGAAAAGCUGCAAUCGAAGGCUAGGGAGAUGGCUCAGCCAGAAAAGGGCUUGCCAUGGAAGCAUGAGGAUUUGAGUUCAGUCUCCACACUCACAUUAAAAGCUGAGCAUAGAAAUGUGUACCUCCAGCUGGGGUGGAUGGGAGAGAGGUGGACCUCAGAGGAAUGCUGGCCAGACUGGCUCCAAGUUCAAUGAAAGACGCUGUCUCAAAAGAUAAGGUAGAGAGCUAUUGAAGAAGACACUUCAUAUGACUUUCUAUUCUUGCGCACACAUGCCCACAAAUGAACACACACACACACACACACACACACACACACACACACACACACAAUCUGAGGUCUCCUCGCAUUUGAUAUCCUCUGACUCUGUAAUUUGAGGACAUUUAGACAAGAGCCUCAUUUGUAAGGCUAAAGAAAAAAAAAA
rnacentral:sRNA from 1 species